GAUGAAGAACGUAGCGAAAUGCGAUAAUUAAUGUGAAUUGCAGAAUUCCGUGAAUCAUCGAGUCUUUGAACGCACAUUGCGCCUCAUGGCAUUCCAUGAGGCAUGCCCAUCUCAGCGUUAGAAAAUAUUCUCAAAUUUUAGUUUUGUGCUAAAAUUUGGAUCAUGUCAAGGAAGCUAUUACUAUUAUUGUGAUCGCUCUUUGGAAAUUGAUAGGUCUUUGAGUUGCUACUCAUAGAACGUGAUGAAUCUUUCUUCGUUCUAUUGUAAUUCACUCUGGUAGUCCUAAAACUUGUAUGCCUGUGGCAUAUCUUGUAAUUUGACCUGAGAUUGGGUAGGGAUACCCGCUAAACUUAAGCAUAUCAAUAAGCGGAGGA
rnacentral:misc_RNA from 1 species